rnacentral:rRNA from 1 species
UACAGAGGUCUCAACCGUUGUUCGGAUUCAUUGGGCGUAAAGGGUUUGUAGGUGGCUUGCUAAGUCAGACGUGAAAUCCCUCAGCUUAACUGGGGAACUGCGUCUGAGACUGGAUGGCUCGAGUGCAGGAGAGGAACGCGGAAUUCCAGGUGUAGCGGUGAAAUGCGUAGAUAUCUGGAGGAACACCGGUGGCGAAGGCGGCGUUCUGGACUGCAACUGACACUGAGGAACGAAAGCCAGGGGAGCAAACGGG